ACUUUUCCAUGACAUUCUAAUUUUUUGCAAAGGGUCUGUAUGUCUUGGGGGUGCUGGAGACAGGAAAUCCAAGCAGGUCAUGUUAAAAAUCUUUGCAGGUAAACCCAGAACCCACAUUAUACCUCAUUUGACUUGGGAACAUUUCUUGUCCUUUCAGCUGUCUACACUAAUGGUGCAAUUGCUCACAUGUUACUUGCACCAUAUACCCAUAAACGCAACCUUAAGUGGUCAGGGGACCUGUGGUUCAUUUUACAGCUCACCACUGUGACAUACUGUACAACUGCACAACAUGUGAAAUUCAAAAAUAUGACUGUAUUUUAAAACAAACAAAAUUAAUUUUAUCUCAGUGAAUUACACAAACACUUUUAGAUAUAUGCCUGUAUACCAAGUGUGUCCAUCUUUGUCAACAAGACUUCAGUUAACUGCUGGCAUUGUUAACCACAAUUUAUAUUAUACACAGACAUGAACACAGUCCAGGCAGUUUAUGAGUGCAACAAUUCAUUCUACAUAAGGCAAGGUGUUGUAUGUUUGUAAAGCAAAGCGGCAAAGUACCAUUUGUAUACAGGUCAUUAUCAAAAUAUUGCUUCAUCUUUCAAAAAAUUAUUCUCAGUUGGCUUGCUGACUGACUGUUAAGCUUCAUAAAAAAUCUUUAGAAAGUCCUGUGAAAUGAGUUCAAGAAGAAAUACAGAAACUAUUGAAAUGAUUA